rnacentral:rRNA from 1 species
UACGUAGGGAGCAAGCGUUGUCCGGAAUCAUUGGGCGUAAAGCGCGCGUAGGUGGCUUCGUAAGUCCGUUGUGAAAGUCAAAGGCUCAACCUUUGAAAGCCGAUGGAUACUGUGGAGCUAGAGUACGGAAGAGGCGAGUGGAAUUCCUGGUGUAGCGGGUGGAAUGCGCAGAGUAUCAGGAGGAACACCAAUAGCGAAGGCAGCUCGCUGGGACGGUACUGACGCUGAGACGCGAAAGCGUGGGGAGCGAAC